UGUGGGAGCUGGCUUGCCUGCGAAGGUAUCGACUCGGUGUGCCCGAAUCACCGAGUUGUCUGGAUCGCAGGCAAGCCAGCUCCCACA
rnacentral:antisense_RNA from 1 species